rnacentral:rRNA from 1 species
GACGAACCGUGCGAACGUUAUUCGGAAUCACUGGGCUUAAAGCGCGUGUAGGCGGGAGGGCACGUCCGUCGCUGAAAUCCCCCGGCUCAACCGGGGAACGGGCGCGGAUACGACCUUCCUGGAGGGGCGUAGGGGGACCUGGAACUUCCGAUGGAGCGGUGAAAUGCAUUGAGAUCGGAAGGAACGCCCGUGGCGAAAGCGAGGUCCUGGACGCCUACUGACGCUGAGACGCGAAAGCCAGGGGAGCGAACGGG